ACGAACGCUGGCGGCGUGCUUAACACAUGCAAGUCGAACGGAAAGGCCCUGCUUUUGUGGGGUGCUCGAGUGGCGAACGGGUGAGUAACACGUGAGUAACCUGCCCUUGACUUUGGGAUAACUUCAGGAAACUGGGGCUAAUACCGGAUAGGAGCUCCUGCUGCAUGGUGGGGGUUGGAAAGUUUCGGCGGUUGGGGAUGGACUCGCGGCUUAUCAGCUUGUUGGUGGGGUAGUGGCUUACCAAGGCUUUGACGGGUAGCCGGCCUGAGAGGGUGACCGGCCACAUUGGGACUGAGAUACGGCCCAGACUCCUACGGGAGGCAGCAGUGGGGAAUAUUGCACAAUGGGCGGAAGCCUGAUGCAGCAACGCCGCGUGCGGGAUGACGGCCUUCGGGUUGUAAACCGCUUUCGCCUGUGACGAAGCGUGAGUGACGGUAAUGGGUAAAGAAGCACAGGCUAACUACGUG
rnacentral:rRNA from 1 species